UCAAGCUACUAAGGGCGAACGGUGGAUGCCUAGGCGCUGAGAGGCGAUGAAGGACGUGGUUAGCUGCGAUAAGCCUCGGGAAGCCGCUAAACAGGCUUUGAUCCGGGGAUUUCCGAAUGGGGGAACCCACCCCGAGUAAUGUCGGGGUAUCCAUGACUGAAUACAUAGGUCAUGGAGGCGAACGCAGGGAACUGAAACAUCUAAGUACCUGCAGGAAAAGAAAUCAACCGAGAUUCCGCUAGUAGCGGCGAGCGAACGCGGACCAGCCUAAACCAUGGUGAUUCGUUGCCAUGGGGUUGCGGGGCCCCAAUAUAUGGGAUUGUGAAUGGAUAGCAGAACGAUCUGGAAAGGUCGGCCGAAGAGGGUGAUAGCCCCGUAAGCGAAAUCCUGAAGCACCCUAGGGUGUCCCCAAGUACCACGGGACACGGGAAAUCCUGUGGGAAUCUGGGAGGACCAUCUUCCAAGGCUAAAUACUACUCAGCGACCGAUAGUGAACCAGUACCGUGAGGGAAAGGUGAAAAGUACCCCUGUGAGGGGAGUGAAAUAGUACCUGAAACCGUUUGCUUGCAAGCUGUGGGAGGACGGUGGUCGGCCUCAAAGGUUAGCCCUUUGGCCGGUCUGUCUGACCGCGUGCCUUUUGCAUAAUGAGUCAGUGAGUUACUUUACGUGGCGAGGUUAAGCCGUUAGGUGUAGCCGUAGCGAAAGCGAGUCUGAAUAGGGCGAUGAGUCGCGUGGAGUAGACCCGAAGCCAGUUGAUCUAUCCAUGGCCAGGGUGAAGUCUCGGUAACACGAGAUGGAGGCCCGAACCCACUAAGGUUGAAAACUUAGGGGAUGAGCUGUGGAUCGGAGUGAAAGGCUAAUCAAAACUGGAGAUAGCUGGUUCUCCCCGAAAUGCAUUUAGGUGCAGCCUCGCAGGAUGAAUGGCGGAGGUAGAGCACUGGAUGGGCUAGGGGUCUCACCAGAUUACCAAACCCAACCAAACUCCGAAUGCCGUCAUAUUUACUGCGGGAGUGAGACUGCGGGAGAUAAGUUCCGUGGUCGAAAGGGAAACAGCCCAGACCGCCAGCUAAGGUCCCUAAAUAUGUGCUAAGUGGGAAAGGAUGUGGAAGCGCUCAGACAACCAGGAGGUUGGCUUAGAAGCAGCCAUCCUUUAAAGAAAGCGUAACAGCUCACUGGUCAAGUGAGUCUGCGCCGAAAAUUCAACGGGGCUCAAGCACAUUACCGAAGCUGCGGGUUUCAUCCGCUUCACUAAGCCGAUGAAGCGAUUUUUCGUUGAAUUUGCGAGGUCCGGCUUUCCUGGACCGAGCAAAAUUCUUUUGGCGAAAGAACCGUGAAUUUGCGAGGUCCGGCAAAGCCGGGUUGAGCAAAAUUCUUUUGGUGAAAGCAUCCCUUUUACCUGAUUGGUAGGGGAUUGUUUCACCGGUUUAGUGAAGCGGAUGGAGCGGUAGGGGAGCGUUGUAGUAACCGCUGAAGGCACACCGUAAGGAGUGCUGGAGGACCUACAAGAGACUAUGCUGACAUGAGUAGCGAUAAUGCGGGUGAAAAACCCGCACGCCGUAAGCCUAAGGUUUCCUGAGUAAAGCUAAUCUUCUCAGGGUUAGUCGGUCCCUAAGCCGAGGCCGAAAGGCGUAGGUGAUGGAAAACAGGUUAAUAUUCCUGUACCACCAAACAGGCAUUUGAGUGAUGGGGGGACGUAGAAGGGUAGGCCAUCCGGGUGAUGGACGUCCCGGUUCAAGCCGGUAGGUGGAGGCUCUAGGCAAAUCCGGAGCCUCAUUAACACCGAGAAGCGAUGAGGAGGGAUUUAUCCCAUAAACUGGCUAAUCCCACGCUACCAAGAAAAGCCUCUAGCGAGUCCGUUUGGUGACCGUACUGCAAACCGACACAGGUAGGCAGGGAGAGUAUCCUAAGGCGCUUGAGAGAACCCUGGUUAAGGAACUCGGCAAAAUGACACCGUAACUUCGGGAGAAGGUGUGCCCUCAUCAGGUGAAACGACUUGCUCGUGGAGCCGAAGGGGGUUGCAGAGAAUAGGGGGUUGCGACUGUUUACUAAAAACACAGGACUCUGCUAAGUCGUAAGACGAUGUAUAGGGUCUGACGCCUGCCCGGUGCUGGAAGGUUAAGGGGAUGCGUUAUCCCGACUCGUCGGGAGAAGCGUUGAACCGAAGCCCCAGUAAACGGCGGCCGUAACUAUAACGGUCCUAAGGUAGCGAAAUUCCUUGUCGGGUAAGUUCCGACCUGCACGAAUGGCGUAACGACAUCCCCGCUGUCUCAACCAGGGACUCAGCGAAAUUGUAAUCUCGGUGAAGAUACCGAGUACCCGCGGCAAGACGGAAAGACCCCGUGCACCUUUACUAUAGCUUGGCAUUGGCUUUUGGGCUAGCAUGUGUAGGAUAGGUGGGAGACUUUGAAAUGGGGACGCUAGUUUCCAUGGAGUCAACCUUGAAAUACCACCCUUGUUAUUUUAGAAGUCUAACCUUGGCCCGUUAUCCGGGUUAGGGACAGUGCCUGGUGGGUAGUUUGACUGGGGCGGUCGCCUCCUAAAGCGUAACGGAGGCGCGCGAAGGUUCCCUCAGGCUGAUUGGAAACCAGCCGUAGAGUGUAAAGGCAUAAGGGAGCCUGACUGCGAGACCUACAAGUCGAGCAGAGACGAAAGUCGGUCUUAGUGAUCCGGCGGUUCUGGAUGGAAGGGCCGUCGCUCAACGGAUAAAAGGUACGCCGGGGAUAACAGGCUUAUCUCCCCCAAGAGUUCACAUCGACGGGGAGGUUUGGCACCUCGAUGUCGGCUCAUCGCAUCCUGGGGCUGAAGCAGGUCCCAAGGGUUGGGCUGUUCGCCCAUUAAAGCGGUACGUGAGCUGGGUUUAAAACGUCGUGAGACAGUUUGGUCCCUAUCUGCCGUGGGCGCAGGAUAUUUGAGGGGAGCUGUCCCUAGUACGAGAGGACCGGGAUGGACGAACCUCUGGUGUACCAGUUGUCACGCCAGUGGCACCGCUGGGUAGCUAUGUUCGGAAGGGAUAACCGCUGAAAGCAUCUAAGCGGGAAGCCCACCCCAAGAUAAGAUAUCCCCUCUCUCUCGCUUCGGCGGGAGAGGCUGAAGGCCCCUUGUAGACUACGAGGUUGAUAGGUCGGGUGUGUAAGCACAGCAAUGUGUUUAGCUAACCGAUACUAAUUGGCCGUGCGGCUUGACCAU
rnacentral:rRNA from 1 species